rnacentral:rRNA from 1 species
GCCUAACACAUGCAAGUCGAGCGAGGAGAUUCCGUCGGAUGAUCCUAGCGGCGGACGGGUGAGUAACACGUGGGCAACCUGCCUCAUAGAGAGGAAUAGCCUUCCGAAAGGGAGAUUAAUACCUCAUAACAUUGCAGUUUCGCAUGGAACAGCAAUUAAAGGAGUAAUCCGCUAUGAGAUGGGCCCGCGGCGCAUUAGCUAGUUGGUGAGGUAACGGCUCACCAAGGCGACGAUGCGUAGCCGACCUGAGAGGGUGAUCGGCCACAUUGGGACUGAGACACGGCCCAGACUCCUACGGGAGGCAGCAGUGGGGAAUAUUGCACAAUGGGGGAAACCCUGAUGCAAGCAACGCCGCGUGAGUGAUGACGGCCUUCGGGUUGUAAAGCUCUGUCUUCAGGGACGAUAAUGACGGUACCUGAGGAGGAAGCCACGGCUAACUACGUGCCAGCCGCUGC